UACGUAGGGGGCAAGCGUUGUCCGGAUUUAUUGGGCGUAAAGAGCGUGUAGGCGGCCAGGUAGGUCUGCUGUGAAAACUCGAGGCUUAACCUCGAGAUGUCAUCGGAAACCAUUUGGCUAGAGUCCGGAAGAGGAGAGUGGAAUUCCUGGUGUAGCGGUGAAAUGCGCAGAUAUCAGGAAGAACACCAAUGGCGAGAGCAGCUCUCUGGGACGGUACUGACGCUGAGACGCGAAAGCGUGGGGAGCGAACAGG
rnacentral:rRNA from 1 species